rnacentral:rRNA from 1 species
CCUACGGGAGGCAGCAGUGAGGAAUAUUGGUCAAUGGGCGAGAGCCUGAACCAGCCAAGUCGCGUGAAGGAUGACGGCCCUACGGGUUGUAAACUUCUUUUGUCAGGGAGCAAUUGGGUCCACGCGUGGGCUUAGCGAGAGUACCUGCAGAAAAAGCAUCGGCUAACUCCGUGCCGGCAGCCGCGGUAAAACGGAGGUUGCGAGCGUUAUCCGGUUUUAUUGGGUUUAAAGGGUGCGUAGGCGGAAUAUCAAGUCAGCGGUAAAAAUUUGGGUCUAAACCCCGUCGUGCCGUUGAUACUGAUGUGCUAGAGUGUGCGUGAGGUAUGCGGAAUGCGUGGUGUAGCGGUGAAAUGCAUAGAUAUCACGCAGAACUCCGAUUGCGAAGGCAGCAUACCGGCGCCCUACUGACGCUGAAGCACGAAAGCGUGGGUAUCGAACAGGAUUAGAUACCCCAGUAGUC